rnacentral:rRNA from 1 species
AUAAUUUAAAUCUGUUGGAAAACAGUACCAUAGAGAGUGAUAGUCUCGUAAAUUAUUAUUGAAAAUAUUGUUACUAUCAACAGUAGAUUAAUCUUUGUUAACUUAAGAGUAGUACAGCUUGGGAUUGUUGUAUGAAAUUUAAAAUAGGAGGUAAAUGGCUCCUAACACUAAAUAUAACUAUAAGACCGAUAGCAAACAAGUACUGUGAAGGAAAAUUGAAAUAGAACUUUGAAAAGAGAGUUAAAUUUUAGAAUGUGAAAUCGUCCAGUGAGAACCAAGAGAGGGGUACCAAACAAAAAAGAAUGGAAAUAAAUAUAUCUAUCAAAUGAUAUAUGUUUCAUUUUAAUUAAAGUAGAUCAGUAAAUAUUGAUUAAAUUGAACA